UCCCCGGUGGCGCAGCGGUAGCGCGAGAUCCUGUUAAGAUCGAGGCCGUAGGUUCGAAUCCUACCCGGGGAG
rnacentral:tRNA from 1 species